rnacentral:rRNA from 1 species
GACGAACGCUGGCGGCGUGCUUAACACAUGCAAGUCGAACGGAAAGGCCCUGCUUUUGUGGGGUGCUCGAGUGGCGAACGGGUGAGUAACACGUGAGUAACCUGCCCUUGACUUUGGGAUAACUUCAGGAAACUGGGGCUAAUACCGGAUAGGAGCUCCUGCUGCAUGGUGGGGGUUGGAAAGUUUCGGCGGUUGGGGAUGGACUCGCGGCUUAUCAGCUUGUUGGUGGGGUAGUGGCUUACCAAGGCUUUGACGGGUAGCCAGCCUGAGAGGGUGACCGGCCACAUUGGGACUGAGAUACGGCCCAGACUCCUACGGGAGGCAGCAGUGGGGAAUAUUGCACAAUGGGCGGAAGCCUGAUGCAGCAACGCCGCGUGCGGGAUGACGGCCUUCGGGUUGUAAACCGCUUUCGCCUGCGACGAAGCGUGAGUGACGGUAAUGGGUAAAGAAGCACCGGCUAACUACGUG